UCCGUAGGUGAACCUGCGGAAGGAUCAUUACACAAUGAAAAGUGCUUAACUGCAUUUUUUCUUACACAUGUGUUUUUCUUUUUUUGAAAACUUUGCUUUGGUAGGCCUUCUAUAUGGGGCCUGCCAGAGAUUAAACUCAACCAAAUUUUAUUUAAUGUCAACCGAUUAUUUAAUAGUCAAAACUUUCAACAACGGAUCUCUUGGUUCUCGCAUCGAUGAAGAACGCAGCGAAAUGCGAUAAGUAAUAUGAAUUGCAGAUAUUCGUGAAUCAUCGAAUCUUUGAACGCACAUUGCGCCCUUUGGUAUUCCAAAGGGCAUGCCUGUUUGAGCGUCAUUUCUCCCUCAAACCCUCGGGUUUGGUGUUGAGCGAUACGCUGGGUUUGCUUGAAAGAAAGGCGGAGUAUAAACUAAUGGAUAGGUUUUUUCCACUCAUUGGUACAAACUCCAAAACUUCUUCCAAAUUCGACCUCAAAUCAGGUAGGACUACCCGCUGAACUUAAGCAUAUCAAUAAGCGGAGGAAAAG
rnacentral:rRNA from 1 species